AUGCCAGACCCUACAUAUGAGAAACUUGAUAGGGUAUUGGUAUGCCCAGAUUGGGAAGAUAAAUACCCCAUGACUAUGGUCACAACAUUAGAGAGAGAGAUUUCAGAUCACACUCCACUGCUGUUGGAUUCUGGUGAGCAGAGAAAUGCUCCUCCCAUUUUUAGAUUUGAAAAUGCAUGGAUGCAUAUGGAAGGAUUUAAGGAAUUUGUGGAAAAAAACUGGGAGGUGAGGUGUAAUGGAUCUAGUAUGGACACUUGGCAAAAAAUACUCAGAAACGUUAGACAAAAAAUCAAAGGGUGGGUUAAAUGCUAA
rnacentral:rRNA from 1 species